GCGGGACACGUGGUAUCCUGUCUGAAUAUGGGGGGACCAUCCUCCAAGGCUAAAUACUCCUGACUGACCGAUAGUGAACCAGUACCGUGAGGGAAAGGCGAAAAGAACCCCGGCGAGGGGAGUGAAAAAGAACCUGAAACCGUGUACGUACAAGCAGUGGGAGCACGCUUAGGCGUGUGACUGCGUACCUUUUGUAUAAUGGGUCAGCGACUUAUAUUCUGUAGCAAGGUUAACCGAAUAGGGGAGCCGAAGGGAAACCGAGUCUUAACUGGGCGUUAAGUUGCAGGGUAUAGACCCGAAACCCGGUGAUCUAGCCAUGGGCAGGUUGAAGGUUGGGUAACACUAACUGGAGGACCGAACCGACUAAUGUUGAAAAAUUAGCGGAUGACUUGUGGCUGGGGGUGAAAGGCCAAUCAAACCGGGAGAUAGCUGGUUCUCCCCGAAAGCUAUUUAGGUAGCGCCUCGUGAAUUCAUCUCCGGGGGUAGAGCACUGUUUCGGCAAGGGGGUCAUCCCGACUUACCAACCCGAUGCAAACUGCGAAUACCGGAGAAUGUUAUCACGGGAGACACACGGCGGGUGCUAACGUCCGUCGUGAAGAGGGAAACAACCCAGACCGCCAGCUAAGGUCCCAAAGUCAUGGUUAAGUGGGAAACGAUGUGGGAAGGCCCAGACAGCCAGGAUGUUGGCUUAGAAGCAGCCAUCAUUUAAAGAAAGCGUAAUAGCUCACUGGUCGAGUCGGCCUGCGCGGAAGAUGUAACGGGGCUAAACCAUGCACCGAAGCUGCGGCAGCGACGCUGAUGCGUUGUUGGGUAGGGGAGCGUUCUGUAAGCCUGCGAAGGUGUGCUGUGAGGCAUGCUGGAGGUAUCAGAAGUGCGAAUGCUGACAUAAGUAACGAUAAAGCGGGUGAAAAGCCCGCUCGCCGGAAGACCAAGGGUUCCUGUCCAACGUUAAUCGGGGCAGGGUGAGUCGACCCCUAAGGCGAGGCCGAAAGGCGUAGUCGAUGGGAAACAGGUUAAUAUUCCUGUACUUGGUGUUACUGCGAAGGGGGGACGGAGAAGGCUAUGUUGGCCGGGCGACGGUUGUCCCGGUUUAAGCGUGUAGGCUGGUUUUCCAGGCAAAUCCGGAAAAUCAAGGCUGAGGCGUGAUGACGAGGCACUACGGUGCUGAAGCAACAAAUGCCCUGCUUCCAGGAAAAGCCUCUAAGCAUCAGGUAACAUCAAAUCGUACCCCAAACCGACA
rnacentral:rRNA from 1 species